rnacentral:pre_miRNA from 1 species
GAGACACCCUUAUGAAGCAGGACUUGCUUCAGUGGGGCUUUGGCACUCACUGAGUCUGCCCCUUGAGUGUGUCACU